GGGGGUUUCUAAUUAUGGUGUUAUUAACCUAAACCGCGUAUGGGUCAUUUAAACCGCUAAAAUUUACUUGAUUUUGACACUAUCCUACAUGGGUAACUGUGGGAAUUCUGGAGCUAAUACAUGCGUAAAAGCUGAAACUCACGUUUCAAUGCAUUUAUUAUAACAAAACCAAGCAUCUUCGGAUGUGUUUUGUUGACUCUGAAUAAACCUUGCUGAUCGCAUAGUCUUGUACUGGCGACAUGUCAUUCAAGUGUCUGACCUAUCAACUGUAUAUAUAAAUAUAUAGUACUUAUAUGGUUUUGACGGGUAACGGAGAAUUAGGGUUCGACUCCGGAGAAAAUGCCUGAGAAACGGCGUUUACAUCCAAGGAAGGCAACAGGCGCGAAAAUUACCCACUCUCAGUACGAGGAGGUAGUGACGAGAAAUGACAAGAUCUAGACCUUCGGGGCUGGAUCAUUGGAAUGGUUUGAUUUUAAAACCAUUAAAGAGUAUCAAUGAGAGGGCAAGUCUGGUGCCGGCACCCGCGGUAAUUCCAGCUCUCAUACUGCAUUGAAUUGUUGUUGCGGUUAAAAAGCUCGUACUUGGAUCUGUACCCGAUAGGAUGGUUCACCCUUUGGGUUGUAACUAUUACUAAGUGUUUUUUAUCAGAUUUUAAGCGCGUUUACGCGUAUAUGUCUGAUGAGUUUACUUUGAAUAAAUCAAAGUGCUCCAAACAGGCGUAAGCUUGUAUGGGUUUGCAUGGAAUAAUAUAACAUGACAGAGGUUCAUGUUUUAUUGGUUUUACUUACCAUGGCAAUGAUUGAAAGGAACGGACGGGGGCCAUCCGUAUCCCACGGCGAGAGGUGAAAUUCAUGGACACUCGCGAGACCAACUACAACGAAAGCAUUGCCAGAAUGAGAGAGAGGA
rnacentral:rRNA from 1 species